rnacentral:sRNA from 1 species
AGCCUCUGGCUGAGGAGCCUCACCUCUGGGGCCACACUUCUGACGGCAGGUGCUGGCCCCGCCACUCUGAGGACCCCGAGCCCCUCCUGUCCGUGCCACAAGAGGGGACCACAGGAGGCAGAUGCUUGGGCUGGCAGAGGGCCUGUGGUCUGGGCUCCUGCGUGUGGGUGCAUGUGUGUCAGGGGCUCGGGCUCUCUCCCACAGCUGUCCUCCUGGCCCCCUGUGUCUUGGCAGUAGCUGCUCUCGAUGCAGCUCUGUGCUUUCCCAGUGCCUGUGACAUUCCCAGCUGCUGCUCACCCUUGCCUUAGAGAUCUCCAGCCCCAAGGCUGCCCCCAGCCGUGGAUCUCCAGGCCUCACUGGCUCCUCCGCGCUCCCUUCGUGAAUACUCUCUGCUGCAUCCAGGAUGGUCUGAAAACUCCCAUCUGGGCAGUGGUUGAUAUCACAGCAAAUCCCGCAGUUCGAAGAUGUUAAAUUUGAAGCAGCAAGUCUGUUGUCUGAAUUGUACUGUCAAGAGAAUUCCGUUGAUGCAGCAAAGCCGCUGCUGCGGAAGGCGAUCCA